rnacentral:rRNA from 1 species
CGGAUUAAUACUCCAUAAUACUAUGGACAGGCAUCUGUUCAUGGUUAAAGCCCCGGCGGUCAGAGAUGGGCAUGCGUGACAUUAGCUUGUUGGUGAGGUAACAGCUCACCAAGGCUACGAUGUCUAGGGGGUCUGAGAGGAUGGUCCCCCACACUGGUACUGAGACACGGACCAGACUCCUACGGGAGGCAGCAGUGAGGAAUAUUGGUCAAUGGGCGAAAGCCUGAACCAGCCAUGCCGCGUGAAGGAUGACAGCCCUAUGGGUUGUAAACUUCUUUUGUACGGGAAGAAACGCUUCUACGUGUAGAGGUUUGACGGUACCGUACGAAUAAGCAUCGGCUAACUCCGUGCCAGCAGCCGCGGUAAUACGGAGGAUGCAAGCGUUAUCCGGAUUUAUUGGGUUUAAAGGGUACGUAGGCGGGAGCUUAAGUCAGUGGUGAAAUCCUGCAGCUUAACUGUAGAACUGUCAUUGAUACUGGGCUUCUUGAAUGUAGUUGAGGUAGGCGGAAUGUGUAAUGUAGCGGUGAAAUGCUUAGAUAUUACACAGAACACCGAUUGCGAAGGCAGCUUACUAAACUACGAUUGACGCUGAGGUACGAAAGCGUGGGGAGCGAACAGGAUUAGAUACCCUGGUAGUCCACGCUGUAAACGAUGAUCACUCGUUGUUGGCAAUACACCGUCAGCGACUGGGCGAAAGCAUUAAGUGAUCCACCUGGGGAGUACGACCGCAAGGUUGAAACUCAAAGGAAUUGACGGGGGCCCGCACAAGCGGAGGAACAUGUGGUUUAAUUCGAUGAUACGCGAGGAACCUUACCUGGGCUUAAAUGUAGAACGACGGACCGGGAAACUGGUCUUUCUUCGGACGGUCUGCAAGGUGCUGCAUGGCUGUCGUCAGCUCGUGCCGUGAGGUGUCGGGUUAAGUCCCAUAACGAGCGCAACCCUCAUCAUUAGUUGCCAGCGGGUAAUGCCGGGGACUCUAAUGAAACUGCCGGUGUAAACCGAGAGGAAGGUGGGGAUGACGUCAAGUCAGCACGGCCCUUAUGUCCAGGGCUACACACGUGUUACAAUGGUCGGUACAAAGGGCAGCUACCUGGCGACAGGAUGCUAAUCUCGAAAACCGAUCUCAGUUCGGAUCGAAGUCUGCAACUCGACUUCGUGAAGCUGGAUUCGCUAGUAAUCG